rnacentral:misc_RNA from 1 species
CGCACCUUGCGCCCCUUGGUAUUCCGAGGGGCAUGCCUGUUUGAGUGUCAUGAAAUCUUCACCCACCCGGGGUUUUCUCCCCGGGCCGGGUCGGACUUGGGUGCUGCCGCCUCAGGCUCACCUCAAAUGUGUUAGCGAGUUGAAACCUUUGACGCUGGCGUAAUAAGUUUCGCCGGCCGAUGUGGGAUGCAGCACGCUCAUAGCCGCGCCCCCGUGCGCAGACCUUCUGACUCUGGCCUCAAAUCAGGUAGGACUACCCGCUGAACUUAA